rnacentral:rRNA from 1 species
CCAAUAGCGUAUAUUAAAGUUGUUGCAGUUAAAAAGCUCGUAGUUGAAUUUCGGGAUCAAUACGUCGGUCGUGCCUUCGGUACGCACUGGCGUCGUUGAUUUCUCCCUUCUGAUGAACCAUGAUGUCAUUAAUUUGGUGUCGUGGGGAGCCAGGACUGUUACUUUGAAAAAAUUAGAGUGUUUAAAGCAGGCAAACGCUUGAAUACAUUAGCAUGGAAUAAUGAAAUAGGACGUUCGGACCUAUUUUGUUGGUUUCUAGGUACAACGUAAUGAUUAAUAGGGAUAGUUGGGGGCAUUAGUAUUCAAUUGUCAGAGGUGAAAUUCUUGGAUUUAUUGAAGACUAACUACUGCGAAAGCAUUUGCCAAGGAUGUUUUCAUUAAUCGAGAACGAAAGUUAGGGGAUCGAAGACGAUCAGAUACCGUCGUAGUCUUAACCAUAAACUAUGCCGACUAGGGAUCGGAUGAAGUUAAUUUUUUAAUGACUCAUUCGGCGCCUUACG